rnacentral:tRNA from 1 species
GGGGAUGUGGCUCAGUGGUAGAGCCCCUGCCUAGCAUGUGCAGGGCCCUGGGUUCCAUCCCCA